UGGGACGGAGGGAGUAUUACCAUAACCUGUUGAUUGGGUUUUUAUACGUUGACAUUUGACUAUGAGGGUGAUGCUUCAUUGUUGCUUCUCAGUCAAAUGGCAGGCUUGUGUAGUUUGUUGAGAAAGGUCCUAGUUCAGACUCGUUGAUGCUCAAACCCAAUGUUUCCUAAGCAUUGCUACAGAAUCGGCCUUUAGUCCCAGCCGGGAAGGGGCUUUAGCCCCGGAUUCCAAGUCAGGAUUACGCUUCCGGGACUAAAGGCCCCCAUUUAGUCCUGGCACCGGGCCAAAGCCCCACCCUUUAGUCCCGGGCGAUAUUACUAGCCGGGAUUAAAGGGUGCUGCCAGCAGUGCCACGCAGCAGCACCCUUUAGUCCCGGCUGGUAGUACCGCCCAGGACUAAAGGGGCCUCUUGUUUUUUAUUUUUCUUUUCUUUUCAGUUCUGUUUUUUUAGUUUUGUUUAUUUAUGCAAUAUGUUUUCCAAUAUGUAUUCUUUGCUACUAAUAUAUAUAUAUAUAUAUAUAUAUAUAUAUAUAUAUAUGAUGCAUUUUCUGUACUCCCAGGAGUAGUUAGUCCCAUCUUCAAUAAACCACAUUACGUAUGUAUUCAUACUUGUUUAUCGAUUUGAGUAUGUUCAUAUUAAGAUAUUCUAGAUCAUAACACACAAAUUUUUUUUUGAAGGAAUCCAUAUUUUUUAAUGUAUUACUAAAAUGCCACUACUAUAGUAUAUAUAAUAAGUAUAACCACAUACUCAUGUAUGCAUACAUACUUAACAUACAUAUCACCUUAGAUGGUCAAGUAUGAUCAUAUACUGCAUCUACAUACAUUUCGUUCGGUCAUAUAGAACCUAAAUCUAGAGAUGUAGACAUGGGAGUAACUACUCCUAGGAGUACGAAGUAAUUUCCCUAUAUCUAUAUAUAUAAUUGAAUAAGCUUAUUUUAUACAUAUAUAAUUGAAUUAUAUAACUACAUAUAUAUAUAAAUAUAUACACAUAAAUAUAUAGAAGUUGUUCUCCAAAUCUAUUACUGCACAAGUUGUACUCCAAAGUUGAUACUCUAAACCUAUUACAAGUUGUACUUCAUCAUCCAAAGAUCUACAAAGCAUACAAAUGAUCAUCAUUGUUUGGAAUCAUCUUCUCGUUAGGAUUAUAAUGGAACUCGCCGCUUGGAUUUAUGACUUGUUCCCGAAGAAAUCCUACUAGUGCCUCUUGUAUUGCUUGGAGUUGUUCAUGUUGCAUGAGUUUUUGCUUCAACCAUUCAGUCUUCAAUUUGAAUUAAAAGAAGGUAUUAGUUAUAUCAAGAUUAUCAAUAGUAGUUCGAGAGAAAAUGAAAAGAGACAUGUGUUACAUACUCUGAUGUAUUCUUCAGGAAUUCUAUUUGUUACUGCCAUAAUAUACUCGCAAACAUAGUAUCCAAAUAAGUUGUUCCCCGGUUCUUGUCUCAAGAUCCACUGC
rnacentral:lncRNA from 1 species